GCCGGGUGUGGUGGCGCAUGCCUGUAAUCCCAGCGGCUUGGGGGGCAGAGGCAGGAGGAUCACAAGUUCAAAGCCAGAAACAGUCAGGUGCUAAGCCACUCAGUAAGACCCUGUUUCUA
rnacentral:sRNA from 1 species